UGUUGUUGUUGGUGAUGAUGAUGGUGGUGAUGAUGAUGACGAUGAUGAUGAUGAUAAUGGUAAUGAUGAUGAUGAAGGAGAUGAUGAUGAAGAAGAUGACGAUAAAAUACUUCCGAGCAAGAAAUCUUCCACGGUUGAUAACUUCCUUGAUUCUUCGGAAAAUGUUCUUCUUUCGUUCGAAAAAUUACCUGAUCAUCGUCAUCAACACCACCACCAUCAUCAUCAUCAUCU
rnacentral:pre_miRNA from 1 species